rnacentral:rRNA from 1 species
AUGUUGUUUCUCGCGUGCCACCUUCUCCUCUCCCUCGCCCUCAUCGUCGCCUCCCUCUCCCACCUAUUCUUCUCCUCCGUUGCCCACCAAUCCCCCGCGCACACUAACAACCACCGCUUUCGCAUCCUUCGACAUCCACUCUUUCGCAUACUCCCCGUCCUCGCUGCCCUCCCAUUCCCCUUCCUUCCCAUCGCCCCCACCUCUCGCCUACUCACAUUCACCCUCCUACCUCCCCUCCUCCUUCUACUCCCACUCCCCUUCCUCCCGGUCAACCACCUCCCACUCCUACGCCCUUUAUUCUUAUCCCUCCCUCUACUCCUCCAAGCCCGCGCCGUGGGUCUUCUCGCCGAUGCAUUCCCCGUAUCCGAUCUCCAGGUUCACACUCUCUCCAUCGCCACCCUCCUCCUCAUCACUGCCGCCACUACUUCCCUAGUAUCCACAUUGUCGCAGUCGAGAACCACCCAGCACUUGUUAGCGGAGACAUUGUUUACCUUUGUCGGUAUCGUUGGUGGCCUCUGGGCUCUCCAAAGUGGCCUCAACCUUUACGUCGACUCCUGCGUCCCCGCGGGUUGCCACCGGCUGAUGGACACAACUCUCGCACCAGCCACACGUUGUGACGUUGAUGAAGCUAGGCUACAGGCCAUUGCGUUCAUGGAUGUCAUGCUGUCAGUGCAUUGCUUGAUUGCGGCAACUUUUGUGUCUGGGUUGCAUCUCGGGGUGGCAAACAGGUACGUGGUUGAUGGUGGGGGUGUUAAUGUUGGUAUGGGGACAGGUCGAAGGCAUAAUAGCAUUGGGGGUUCAUAUGAUGCCCUGCCCAUGGUGCCUUUGUCAUCGGGGGCCAUUGAGGAGACAGAGUAUUUGCCUGUGAAGGGCGUCGUUGGCAAGGCUGUGGCACAGGAAUAA